rnacentral:rRNA from 1 species
GAUGAACGCUGGCGGCGUGCCUAACACAUGCAAGUCGAACGGAACUUUUACGGAUUGAGACUUCGGUCGAUUGAGGUUUAAGUUUAGUGGCGGACGGGUGAGUAACGCGUGAGUAACCUGCCUUUCACAGGGGGAUAACGUUUGGAAACGAACGCUAAUACCGCAUAACAUAGCGAGGUCGCAUGGCUUUGCUAUCAAAGAUUUUAUCGGUGAGAGAUGGACUCGCGUCCGAUUAGGUAGUUGGUGAGGUAACGGCCCACCAAGCCGACGAUCGGUAGCCGGACUGAGAGGUUGAACGGCCACAUUGGGACUGAGACACGGCCCAAACUCCUACGGGAGGCAGCAGUUAGGAAUAUUCGUCAAUGGGGGAGACCCUGAACGAGCAAUGCCGCGUGAGUGAUGACAGUCUUAUAGAUUGUAAAGUUCUAUCAGCAGGGAAGAUAAUGACGGUACCUGACUAAGAAGCACCGGCUAAAUACGUG